UUACUGUGUACAUCAAGAGUUUGUUCAUCAAGAACUUAGUAGUAAGAGUGGCUCAGAAACCAUUGAUACCUUCAGGAGUGCCCUGAGGUCUACCAUCACAUGGCCAAAAAAUCUUCUCUUGUUACAUUCUCCAAAAUAACACAAAAGUAAAGUAUGGAACUUGAUAUGUUAAUGCAGCGUAUGAUAUAGUCAGGGUUCCCUGUUGACAAUUCAAUAAUUGAUGCUUAGCUUUCAUGGUUAGAUUGUUGUGUUGGCUCUGAUAUUCUUGUUGUUCACUUUGCCUUUUCAUAUAAAGAUGCCAUAUUAACAUUGCCUUAGUAUGAAUUUUAGACCCUGCACAUGAAAUUGAGUCUUGAAAAGCACUGGAGAGAUGGUGAGGGUUUACGCAUAGUAGUCCUGAUGUGGUUCUGAUAAUUCCAUGAUGUAGUGAUGUGUUGAUAUAUUGUUCCAAGCAUAAUCUCCUAGGUCAUGUUAGUUGCAAUGGUUUUGGUAAAUGUACUUGACCAUAUAUGUUCGAGCUUGGCAAUUAGAUUCUAACUGUUGGAUAUUGUUCAGCCUUGGUUUGCAGCAUGUGGUUCAGUUGUCAUGCUUUGUACCCUGAGACUGAAAGUAUUUGAAUUUGUUUGUAGGACUGGCCGGUUUGUGUGAGCUAUGGAGCUUUGGCUGGGUACUUUGUCGGGAUGGCGGCAGCUUUUGGUUUUGUCCUCUUCCUAAAUAAACGAAGGCAUGUAAAAGGAGACUAAUGAUGGAGAAUUCGACAUUAAUCUUAUUGGAGGUUGCUAUCGAUGACCCUAUUGAUAGACUGAGUUGCAUCCAGCUGACCAUAGGACCUCACCUGCUGAGCGGAGGUUUUGUAAUUUUUUCCCAGUAACACUACAAAACUCAUCCCUCCCCAGAACUUUUCUUUUUGCCCGGGCAAUGCAAUUUGCAGAAACUUAGAAGUACCUUUGGUUCCCACUGGAAGUUCAUUCUUUACCCUUUCUUUUCUCUUUCUUUUUCCCACUGUAACUCUAUUUCUUCCAUUAUGAUCUGCUACUGUCUUCUAAAGGGAAAAUCCUCGUCUGGUGUAUGCUGAGGUUGUGAACAAGAAGGAUGUUAUUCCUGAGAGAUUAGCAUCCAUGGCACACAUUCCUCAAAUUUUCGCUUUCCAUUGUGAAAAGCUUGAAUUACUGAGUCCUGGUUUUUGCUUACAGGUGAAGAUAUUUCACAGCCAUUGUUUA